ACCAGACACACACCAAGCACAUUGUUCGGACAUUCAAUCAUGACAUGAUCCAUGUGGAUGCUGUCCAUUGAGGAAAGAGUUUGUUCAGCGGUUUCUGGAUAGAAUUAAUUCCAAAGAUGGGAAAAAGUGCACAUCCAGACAAGGAGCAAGCAAAUAGACAAGGAACUUGGUGCAGAGAAAAGCUGUGGCCAUUAACCCCCAUGUGAACAGCUUCAUGCAGUCCCUGAUUGAGUUCGAAUGGACGACUUCAAAGUAAAGGCCACUGUGGUCAGUCUGCCACAGUUUAAUGCAUUUAUUUUUAGUGUUAAAUGAAAUUCAAGUAGAAUAUUUAAAACUAUGGGCCAGUGUUCUUUUUACCACAGUGAAAUGUUACCUUUUAGUCGAUGAUGGACUUUAAACUGAAAACUUCAAACUAUGGAACAGUGUUCUAUUUGCCAGAGUUAAAUAUGUUACAGCAGGGGUCUCCAAACUUGUUUAUACUUGUUGA